rnacentral:rRNA from 1 species
ACGAACGCUGGCGGCGUGCCUAACACAUGCAAGUCGAACGAGAAAUCCGACACUCAGGCAACUGAGUGUUAGAGAGUAAAGUGGCGCACGGGUGAGUAACGCGUGGGUAACCUACCCCUGAAUUUGGAAUAACCCCGCGAAGGCGGGACUAAUACCGGAUGUGGUUCCAUGAGCCUCGGCUUUUGGAAUUAAAGGUGACCUCUUCAUGAAAGUUGCCGUUCAGGGACGGGCCCGCGUACCAUUAGCUUGUUGGUAGGGUAAUGGCCUACCAAGGCUACGAUGGUUAGCUGGUCUGAGAGGAUGAUCAGCUACACUGGAACUGGAACACGGUCCAGACUCCUACGGGAGGCAGCAGUGAGGAAUUUUGCGCAAUGGGGGAAACCCUGACGCAGCAACGCCGCGUGAGCGAAGAAGGCCCUCGGGUCGUAAAGCUCUGUCAAGUGGGAAAAAAGCCUUUCGAUGAAUAGUCGAUAGGUUCGAUGGUACCACUGGAGGAAGCACCGGCUAACUCCGUGCCAGCAGCCGCGGUAAUACGGAGGGUGCAAGCGUUUGUUUCGGAAUUACUGGGCGUAAAGGGCGUGCAGGCGGUUUGGCA